rnacentral:rRNA from 1 species
GACGAACGCUGGCGGCGUGCUUAACACAUGCAAGUCGAACGGAAAGGCCCUGCUUGCAGGGUGCUCGAGUGGCGAACGGGCGAGUAACACGUGGGUGAUCUGCCCCUUAUUUUGGGAUAAGCCUGGGAAACUGGGUCUAAUACUGGAUAGGACCAUGCUGUAGGUGGUGUGGUGGAAAGAUUAGUUUCGGUAAGGGAUGAGCUCGCGGCCUAUCAGCUUGUUGGUGGGGUAAUGGCCUACCAAGGCGUCGACGGGUAGCCGGCCUGAGAGGGUGGACGGCCACAUUGGGACUGAGAUACGGCCCAGACUCCUACGGGAGGCAGCAGUGGGGAAUAUUGCACAAUGGGCGCAAGCCUGAUGCAGCGACGCCGCGUGGGGGAUGGCGGCCUUCGGGUUGUAAACUCCUUUCAGCCAUGACGAAGCCCUUGUGGUGACGGUAGUGGUAGAAGAAGCACCGGCUAACUACGUG